CUCCUCAGGUUAUUUAAGAUCAAGAGACGCUACAGAGAUGUGCUGGGCACACUGUUUGUGCUGUUCUCACGACUGACCAGUUUGGCCGUGGUGAUCAUCAUGGUCUAUUAUUUCUUCGCUGUCAUUGGAAUGGAAAUGUUUCUCAAUGUCGACCUGAGGAACUGUUGCAAGAACUCCAGUAUGGCCGA